UGGGGAAUGUUGCACAAUGGGGGAAACCCUGAUGCAGCGACGCCGCGUGAUUUAGAAGGCCUUCGGGUUGUAAAAAUCUUUUCUAUGGGAAGAAAAUGACAGUACCAUAGGAAUAAGGACCGGCUAAUUACGUGCCAGCAGCCGCGGUAAUACGUAAGGUCCGAGCGUUGUCCGGAAUCAUUGGGCGUAAAGGGUACGUAGGCGGGUAAGCAAGUUAGAAGUGAAAUCCUAUAGCGCAACUAUAGUAAGCUUUUAAAACUGCUCAUCUUGAGGUAUGGAAGGGAAAGUGGAAUUCCUAGUGUAGCGGUGAAAUGCGCAGAUAUUAGGAGGAAUACCGGUGGCGAAGGCGACUUUCUGGCCAUAACCUGACGCUGAGGUACGAAAGCGUGGGUAGCAAACAGG
rnacentral:rRNA from 1 species